CCGCCCCGUUGAGGCUUUGAGAAAGGAGUAGGAGCCGAGCAUUCCGGCAGAGGAAGAAAAACGGCCCAUCUUUUAGAGUCCGACCUCUGGAAAUCGGGUGGCCGCGGGGACCCGGGCGACGUCGGAGGCCCUGCCGGGAACCCAGGCUGCAGCCCCCACCCCCGCGCUGCGACACGCCCCCCACCCCUUCCGGCUCACACCCCCGCCCACACUCCUGAGUGGUGCGGUGCAGCGUCGGCCGAGGCAGCAGAGCCGAGGAGAGCAGUCCACACCUCUGCAUCCCUGCACCAGGACUCACCAAGACGCCCAUCCUGGAAAAGGUCCCCCGUAAGAUGGCAGCAAAAACUCCCAGCAGUGAGGAGUCUGGCUGCCCAAACUGCCCGUGCCCCCGCUGCAGCAGACCCUGGCCACGUACCUGCAGUGCAUGCGACACUUGGUGUCUGAGGAGCAGUUCAGGAAGAGCCAGGCCAUUGUGCAGCAGUUUGGGGCCCCUGGUGGCCUCGGCGAGACCCUGCAGCAGAAACUCCUGGAGCGGCAGGAGAAGACAGCCAACUGGUGUCUGAGUACUGGCUGAAUGACAUGUAUCUCAACAACCGCCUGGCCCUGCCUGUCAACUCCAGCCCUGCCGUGAUCUUUGCUCGGCAGCACUUCCCUGGCACCGAUGACCAGCUGAGUUUGCAGCCAGCCUCAUCUCUGGUGUACUCAGCUACAAGGCCCUGCUGGACAGGUAGGACUGGGAGGGU
rnacentral:lncRNA from 1 species